rnacentral:lncRNA from 1 species
UAGCUCUCUUGACUCCACUAAUGAUUCUCUUAGACAAGUUACACUUGAGCAAGAAAAAAAUUUAUUGAAAGGAAUUAUAGAGAGUGGUGUCUUCAAGAGUCUUGCUGGAAGUAAACAAUUCGAGGAUAUUCUACGCAAGCAAGGAGGACAUCGGAAGAAACAAGGCAUUGGCUACUUCAAUGCAAAUGGAGUUGAAUAGGAAGAACAACAAUACCCCAACUCGUAGUUUGUUUCCCAAAAGGAGAAGUAUAAUCCUACUCUCCCCAAGGGAACAAAUGCUCAAUAUGACCUUCAACCACAAGACUACCAGCUCAAGGGCAAGGAGAAGCUUCAAGAGGAGAUUGAAUCAUUUGAAGGAGAAUCCCAAGGCAUGGUCAAGUGGAUUCCCAAGGCCACAACUAUCUCUACUUCAUCAAGCUCUACCUCAACUCCAAGGAUCCCCAUCAAGUUGAUGUGGGUCCCUAAUAAGAAGAACUAGAGAAUUUCUUGAGGGCUCACUCCGCCAAUAAAAUUCACUCUUAUUCAUUUUGGCAAGAACUAGUUGCAAUCAACUCCAACUAUAUGUAUUAGUUCAAGGAGUCACACAUUCCCUCAAAGUUAAGCAAGGGACAAGGUAAUUAAUGUAUCAAUGGACAUCAUCUCACAUGUACUUCAUUCCAUGUCCAUAGAUAUCCUUGUAUUUGUUCCUUGUGUGGGACUAACCCGUGUAGGUGACAAGAUUAU